rnacentral:rRNA from 1 species
CAGUAGCCGCGGUAAUACGGAGGGGGCUAGCGUUGUUCGGAAUGACUGGGCGUAAAGCGCGCGUAGGCGGGCUGGAAAGUCAGGGGUGAAAUCCCGGGGCUCAACCUCGGAAUUGCCUUUGAAACUCCCAGCCUUGAGUUCGAGAGAGGUGAGUGGAAUUCCGAGUGUAGAGGUGAAAUUCGUAGAUAUUCGGAGGAACACCGGUGGCGAAGGCGGCUCACUGGCUCGACACUGACGCUGAGGUGCGAAAGCGUGGGGAGCAAACAGGAUUAGAUACCCCAGUAGUCCCUGUCUCUUAUAC